rnacentral:rRNA from 1 species
GAUUAACGCUGGCGGCGUGCAUGAGACAUGCAAGUCGAACGGGCGACUCGGGCUUGCUCGAGUCGCUAGUGGCGGACGGCUGAGUAACGCGUAGGUGACUUGCCCUGAAGUGGGGAAUAACUGCCCGAAAGGGUGGCUAAUACCGCAUGUGGUGGUGCGUUCAAUCGCACCAGUAAAGCCGCAAGGCGCUUCAGGAGAGGCCUGCGUCCGAUUAGCUCGUUGGGGGGUAACGGCUCACCAAGGCGACGAUCGGUAGGUGGUCUGAGAGGACGAUCACCCAGACUGGGACUGAGACACGGCCCAGACUCCUACGGGAGGCAGCAGUUGGGAAUCUUGGACAAUGGGGGAAACCCUGAUCCAGCCAUGCCGCGUGAGCGAUGAAGG